UACGGAGGAUGCGAGCGUUAUCCGGAUUUAUUGGGUUUAAAGGGUGCGUAGGCGGAGUGGUAAGUCAGCUGUGAAAGUUUACGGCUCAACCGUGAAAUUGCAGUUGAUACUGUUGGUCUAGAGUAUACAUGAGGUAGGCGGAAUUUGUGGUGUAGCGGUGAAAUGCUUAGAUAUCACGAAGAACUCCAGUUGCGAAGGCAGCUUACUGGGGCAUAACUGACGCUGAUGCACGAAGGUGUGGGUAUCAAACGGG
rnacentral:rRNA from 1 species